rnacentral:tRNA from 1 species
GGGCACGUGGCGGAGUGGUUACGCGCCGGGGUAGCAAACCGGGAGACGCGGGUUCGAAUCCCGCCGUGCCCU